CUGCUAGGAUCGAUAGUUCCAUCUAGGUGCGUACCCUACUCUUACAGUGGAUCAACUAUCACCAACAUCUACUAUAAGGACUCAUUGAGUCAAUAUUUAUAUGUAGUCAAAUUCUAGCAGUUUUACUGUAGCAGCUAUGGCAUCAUAGGUCAAAAGAUCAGUCAUACUACUGCAGCAUCGAGAAAGUCACUAACGAGUGAGCAGACAUCCAUGUGACUUUUCACGUUGAUCAUGCUUAGUGCUAGUUGUUCUCUAAUAACAACCUAUACUUUCACUCCAAUGUCACUACACCGC
rnacentral:lncRNA from 1 species